rnacentral:lncRNA from 1 species
CGUUUGAAGCCGCACACGCGUCCGACCUCUACGGGUAUCCACACGAGGCAAAGGGCCAAUCCAAACUCUCUAAUCUCCUCGGGGUGCUAGCUCCCUUGCAGAGAUACGUUUUGAUGGUUGAAAUUCUCUCUUUUGAAUCAACUUUUGAUUGCCUUAGAGAGGAGUAAGAAGAAGAAUGGAUCAAAAAGGAAGAAGGCCAAACCCCUUUGCAGCAUUUUC